rnacentral:rRNA from 1 species
AGACCCGAAACCCGGUGAUCUAGCCAUGGGCAGGUUGAAGGUUGGGUAACACUAACUGGAGGACCGAACCGACUAAUGUUGAAAAAUUAGCGGAUGACCUGUGGCUGGGGGUGAAAGGCCAAUCAAACCGGGAGAUAGCUGGUUCUCCCCGAAAGCUAUUUAGGUAGCGCCUCGUGAAUUCAUCUCCGGGGGUAGAGCACUGUUUCGGCUAGGGGGCCAUCCCGGCUUACCAACCCGAUGCAAACUGCGAAUACCGGAGAAUGUUAUCACGGGAGACACACGGCGGGUGCUAACGUCCGUCGUGAAGAGGGAAACAACCCAGACCGCCAGCUAAGGUCCCAAAGUCAUGGUUAAGUGGGAAACGAUGUGGGAAGGCCCAGACAGCCAGGAUGUUGGCUUAGAAGCAGCCAUCAUUUAAAGAAAGCGUAAUAGCUCACUGGUCGAGUCGGCCUGCGCGGAAGAUGUAACGGGGCUAAACCAUGCACCGAAGCUGCGGCAGCGACACUCAGGUGUUGUUGGGUAGGGGAGCGUUCUGUAAGCCUGUGAAGGUGGCCUGUGAGGGUUGCUGGAGGUAUCAGAAGUGCGAAUGCUGA